rnacentral:rRNA from 1 species
CGGACUACUAUCAGGUGAGUACUAGUGGCGCACGGGUGAGUAACGCGUGGAUAAUCUGCCUUAGAGUGGGGGAUAACGAAUCGAAAGAUUCGCUAAUACCGCAUAAGACCACAAGAACUGCGGUUCAAGAGGUCAAAGGUUUUUCGCUCUAAGAUGAGUCCGCGUAAGAUUAGCUAGUUGGUGAGGUAAUGGCUCACCAAGGCAACGAUCUUUAACUGGUCUGAGAGGAUGAUCAGUCACACUGGAACUGAGACACGGUCCAGACUCCUACGGGAGGCAGCAGUAGGGAAUAUUGCACAAUGGAGGAAACUCUGAUGCAGCGACGCCGCGUGAGUGAUGAAGGCCUUCGGGUCGUAAAGCUCUGUCGCAGGGGAAUAAAAAAAUGAAUGUACCCUGCAAGAAAGGAUCGGCUAACUUCGUGCCAGCAGCCGCGGUAAGACGAGGGAUCCUAGCGUUGUUCGGAAUUAUUGGGCGUAAAGCGGGUGUAGGUGGCUAUGUAAGUCAGGUGUGAAAGCCUAGGGCUCAACCCUAGAAGUGCAUCUGAUACUGCGUAGCUUGAGUGGUAGAGAGGAUAGUAGAAUUCUUGGUGUAGUGGUAAAAUACGUAGAUAUCAAGAGGAAUACCGGUGGCGAAGGCGGCUAUCUGGCUACACACUGACACUCAGACCCGAAAGUGCGGGGAUCAAACAGGAUUAGAUACCCUGGUAGUCCGCACCAUAACGAUGGAUACUUGUUGUUGGAGGUAUUGAUUGGGGUAGCGAUUAGAACCCUUUGGCGCUGCAUGCCCCGCUAUCAUUCUACUAGAUU